AACCGUACUACAGUUUAUAUGGGUAAGAAAUUAGCAUUUGGCAACUCCGAGAAUGGCACUAUAUAAGCGAGGCUCCCCGUGCAACAUGCAAGCAGUCUUUAACCCUCAGACCAGGAAACACGUGGCACUCAGGCCAUUCCGGCACUGCAUAUCCAAAACCUUCGGUUAAACCACAACCAUGAACACAUUCGUCCUGCUCUUACUUCUACUCGUGGCCCUCGUUGGUGUCACCAGCGGGAUGCCUCAGAGGAUUGUGCGAACCAAAAAGAGGUUUCCUGGAGAACGUACUCUGGGAAAGACCAAUUACGGAACACACAGCUUCGGGGAAAGAGGCUAUAAAAGGAACUCGAAUCCAAGAAAACGGGGAUGAGGGGAGAUGGAGCCUCCAGUGUUGCAAGUAUUCUUCUGGCAAAACGAAAGUGAACGAGUGAAGUCUCUCCGUCUCGUCGCCCAGUAUCGAAGGACCAAGAUCCUUCCAGAACUUUCUGUUCCAAAACAACUCACCUGCUCUAGUAGUGAUGAGUCAACUAUCAUGUGAUGAGUCAGAUAUAGUGUUGAAUUCCAACACCAGUUACAUAAUCUUAAUACGUUAAGUCACAUCUGAGUUAGUUCAUGUUAGAGUGUGUGGAUGUAGCAAGUCUUGUGCUAACCAUUAAAGUUUGAUCUUUUUAGGAUAUAGUUUGUAUUGUCUUUUGUGAUAGUCUGUUUGUGACAUAGUUUGUAUUACGUACAUUUUUGUGAUAGUCUCUUUGUGAUAUAGUUUGUAUUACAUGUAAUAGUAUUUUUU
rnacentral:lncRNA from 1 species